rnacentral:rRNA from 1 species
UGGGGAAUAUUGGACAAUGGGCGAAAGCCUGAUCCAGCCAUGCCGCGUGUGUGAAGAAGGUCUUCGGAUUGUAAAGCACUUUAAGUUGGGAGGAAGGGCUGCAAGUUAAUACCUUGUAGUUUUGACGUUACCAACAGAAUAAGCACCGGCUAACUUCGUGCCAGCAGCCGCGGUAAUACGAAGGGUGCAAGCGUUCAUCGGAAUUACUGGGCGUAAAGCGCGCGUAGGUGGUUUGGUAAGAUGGAUGUGAAAUCCCCGGGCUCAACCUGGGAACUUCAUCCAUAACUGCCUGACUAGAGUACGGUAGGGGGUGGUGGAAUUUCCUGUGUAUCGGUGAAAUGCGUAGAUAUAUGAAGGAACACCAGUGGCGAAGGCGACCACCUGGACUGAUACUGACACUGAGGUGC